rnacentral:rRNA from 1 species
GACGAACGCUGGCGGCGUGCUUAACACAUGCAAGUCGAACGGAAAGGCCCUGCUAUCGUGCGGUGCUCGAGUGGCGAACGGGUGAGUAACACGUGAGUAACCUGCCCUAGACUUUGGGAUAACUUCAGGAAACUGGGCCUAAUCCCGGACAGGAGCUCCUGCUGCAUGGUGGGGGUUGGAAAGUUUCGGCGGUUGGGGAUGGACUCGCGGCUUAUCAGUUUGUUGGUGGGGUAGUGGCUUACCAAGGCUUUGACGGGUCGCCGGCCUGGGAGGGUGACCGGCGACAUUGGGACUGAGAGACGGCGCAGACUGGUACGGGAGGCAGCAGUGGGGAGUAUUGCACAGUGGGCGGAAGCGUGAUGCAGAAACGCCGGGUGCGGGAUGACGGCCUGCGGGGUGAGAACAGCUUUCGCCUGUGACGAAGCGUGAGUGACGGUAAUGAGUAAAGAAGCACCGGCUAACUACGUG